rnacentral:rRNA from 1 species
GACCUGGCCGGGCGGUCCGCCUUACGGUGUGUACUGUCUGGCUGGGCCUUACCUCCUGGUGAACUGGCGUGCCCUUUAUUGGUGUGCGUCGGGGAACCGGGACGAUUACCUUGAGAAAAUUAGAGUGUUCAAAGCAGGCAUGUGCCUGAAUACAUUAGCAUGGAAUAACAAAGUAGGACGUGCGGUUCUAUUUUGUUGGUUUCUAGAGUCGCCGUA